rnacentral:rRNA from 1 species
GUACGCUAUUCAGAGUUUGAUCCUGGCUCAGGAUGAACGCUGGCGGCGUGCUUAACACAUGCAAGUCGAACGAAGCACUCUGAUUACUUCGGUUUGAAGAGUGACUGAGUGGCGGACGGGUGAGUAACGCGUGGGUAACCUGCCUCAUACAGGGGGAUAACAGUUAGAAAUGACUGCUAAUACCGCAUAAGCGCACAGUACCGCAUGGUACGGUGUGAAAAACUCCGGUGGUAUGAGAUGGACCCGCGUCUGAUUAGCUAGUUGGUGGGGUAACGGCCUACCAAGGCGACGAUCAGUAGCCGACCUGAGAGGGCGACCGGCCACAUUGGGACUGAGACACGGCCCAA